rnacentral:rRNA from 1 species
AUGGUAAGAAAUCAUGAGAAGAGUUUCAGAUUUGAAGCCAGGUGGAUACAAGAAGAGGGCUGUGAGGAAGUGAUAAAAAAUGCAUGGAUUGUGGCCGGCCGACAAGAAGAAAACAACACUUCAGGAAAAUUACAAGUAGUGGCUCGAGAACUAAAAGACUGGGACACCAAUGUUUUGGGUGAACUAGAUAAGAGGAUCAAAGAGCUUAAAAUUGAACUGGAAGUGGUAAGAAGAGGGGACAUAAAUCAAGAAAAGGUGUCUCGGGAGCAUUUUCUAAAAGAGAAACUAGAAAGACUAGAGAGCCAGAAGGAUAUAUAUUGGAGGCAGCGAGCGCAUGUCAAAUGGCUUGAAUCCGAGGAUAAGAACACCGCCUUUUUUCAUGCCUUUGCUUCAGAGAGAAAAAGGAGAAACAAUAUAAGCAAAUUAAAAAGAGAGGAUGGUAGUUGGGUGGAGGGCGAAGAACGACUAAAAGAUCAUAUCGCAGGUUAUUUUUACAACUUAUUUACCUCGACUACAGACCAAAACAAUGAGGCCAUCUUAUAG